rnacentral:rRNA from 1 species
GGGGAUCUGCCCGAUAGAGGGGGAUAACCACUGGAAACGGUGGCUAAUACCGCAUAACGUCGCAAGACCAAAGAGGGGGACCUUCGGGCCUCUCACUAUCGGAUGAACCCAGAUGGGAUUAGCUAGUAGGCGGGGUAACGGCCCACCUAGGCGACGAUCCCUAGCUGGUCUGAGAGGAUGACCAGCCACACUGGAACUGAGACACGGUCCAGACUCCUACGGGAGGCAGCAGUGGGGAAUAUUGCACAAUGGGCGCAAGCCUGAUGCAGCCAUGCCGCGUGUAUGAAGAAGGCCUUCGGGUUGUAAAGUACUUUCAGCGGGGAGGAAGGCGAUGUGGUUAAUAACCGCGUCGAUUGACGUUACCCGCAGAAGAAGCACCGGCUAACUCCGUGCCAGCAGCCGCGGUAAUACGGAGGGUGCAAGCGUUAAUCGGAAUUACUGGGCGUAAAGCGCACGCAGGCGGUCUGUUAAGUCAGAUGUGAAAUCCCCGGGCUUAACCUGGGAACUGCAUUUGAAACUGGCAGGCUUGAGUCUCGUAGAGGGGGGUAGAAUUCCAGGU